rnacentral:lncRNA from 1 species
AUAAGACAUUGUUUCUCUCUAUAGCCCUGGCUGUCCUGCAACUCACUUUGUAGACCAGGCUGGCCUGGAACUCAGAAAUCCAUGUGCCUCUGCCUCUCAAGUGCCUGGAUUAAAUAGAAUAUGCAGCCACUGCCUAGCUCUAUGCAUUUUCAUUCAAGUAAUAAUUGAAUUCAUUAUUCAUUGAAACUAGAUUCUUCUUUCAUACAGUAUGUCAGGCCUACAGUUUCUCUUCUGCAUUCCUUCCAGUUACCCUGCCACCUCUUCUAUCCUCCUACCCCACAGAUUUCCUCUCAUUCUGUUUUCUCGUUAGAGGAGAGCAGGUUGCAAGGAGAGGAGAGCCAAGCAGAACAAAACAAGAUAGAGAAGGCAUGUUGAAAGCUCUCAUUUUGGGGCUGUCCAUGGCAAGCCAAUAGGAAGAAAAGAACAUUAAGAUCAAGCAAAGGAGUCAGAGCCAUACUUCCUCCCAGUGUUAGGGUUACCACACAUCACCAAGCUAAUCACCAUAACACAGAAGCAGAGGACCUGGGUGAGACCCAUGCAAACCCAUUUUUGCUAUUUAAGUCUAUGUGCAGUUUCUGAAAACCCUGGCAAGUUUGUUCAGCACAUUUUACAGACAGGAAUGUGUAUGUAGAGGUUUUAUAGCUCGUAUUUUUUCCAAAAUUUUCGUUCUGUAGCCUGUGGACUACCUUCUCUCUAAAAAGAGAGUAGAACAUAGGAUGAAGGCUCCUAACAAGCACAAAGUUGAUUUUCAGAUUUAGUGAGUUGUGUUGAAGUUGUCCAAACAAUUAGUCCCUGUGCUUAGGUUUCUGAGAGCAAGAUGUUUUUCACAGAAUCAGCAUGGGUAGUUUUGAGCCGUCCUUGGCUAACAACUCAAUGAAAUGUAACCUGUUCCCAACACUGAAUCCAUACUGCCUAUAAAGGACAAGCAGUUAAGACCCUGUCCUCCAUUAGUAGGAGUGGUCACCAGGGUCACCCUCAGAGUGUCCUGAAAGUUCCCAGGGCACUUUGUUCCUUUACAAACGUGCAAUUGCCCCCUUGUUGCAGCUCUUUUUCCCUGAACUAUACUCUCUUCCUACAUCCCCCCUCCAAAGGACCCCUACCACUUCUUUCCCUAUUUACCUCAGCCUACCCAGAGAGUCUAUUCUAUUUCAUACCACAUUUGUUUCUCCAGUUUUCAGCUGUGGAACAUCUAUGUGUUUUUACCUUCUGUCUAAUACAAAUGAAGCUAUUAUAAACAUAGGUGAGCAUGUGUCCUGGGUUGCUGGAUGGAGUACCUUUUUCAUUUAUGCCCAAGACUGAUAUAGCUUGGUCCUGAGGUGGAUGCAUUCCCAGUCUCCUGAGGAAUCAUGAUACUGGUUCCCUUCUUGGCCAUAUUUGUCUGCACUCCUAUAAGCAGUAGAAGGUGUCACACUUGCUUUAUAUUCUCACUAAUAUGAAAAUCAUUUGUGUUAAUUAUCUUAACCGUUGUAACGUGUGUCAUGGACUCACAAAGUAGUUUUCAUUUGCAAUUCCGUAAUGGGUAAGGAUGGUGAACAUUUCUUUAAGAAUUUCUUCUCCAUGAGAUUGUCUGUUGAGAAUUCAUGGUUUAAAUCUCUACCCUAUUUUUUAUCUGGAGUUUUUGAUUUUAGAUCAUCUAGUUUUGUGAGGUCUGUAUAUAUUUCUGUAUAUUACAAGUUUAUCAGGUGUGUUUAAAUUGUACAAAUACUUUUCUCAUUCCUUAGACUGUCUAUUUGUCCAAUUGUCUGGGCUUUGGCCUUAGAAAAACCUCACUGUUCCAUGAGGUCCAAUUUAUGAAUUUAUCUUAGUUUCUGCACUAUUAGUAUUCUGUUCAGAAGGUUGUCUCCUGUGACAUUGAAUUCAGUGAGGUUCUCCCAUUAUCCUUCUGUCAGGAUCAAUGUGUCUGGUUUUAUUUUAAAUCUUUGGAAAUCUAUUUGGAAAUGAGUUUAGUGCAGGGCAAAGAAGAUAGACCUCUUUCCAUACAUUUCCAUGUAGAACUACAGUGUAACAAGCACCACUUUGCUAAGCCAAGUGUGGUCCUGAUAGGCCCAGGUAGACAUGGUUCCUGCCCCUGGGACACUGGUGUGAGCCUUCAUGAGCGUUGAUGGCUGUUGUAGGUAUAAGUAAGGCUUGUUUAUGUAAUCAUGUACAAAUUUUCUGGACCCACUAACAGAGGACUCUUUUCUCUGAAAACAGGGGAUUUCAUUUUCAGAGGAACUUCUUCCCUGUGAAUGCUAAUGCCUCCAUGCUGGUUAGAAACUGCUGGAGUCCUGGAAUUGAGGGUGUAGCUAUGUUACAUCGAAGUUGUAAAAACUGAGAUUUCAGGACAGCUUUUAAGGCUAUGGGAAAAAACUCUAAAUACAUGAUUUUGAAAAUAAAUAAUUUCUCAACUCUGCCAAAAAUAAGGAUGCAAUAUGAAUCAUAUGAGGGGCUCCUUAAGGAUUCUAAAGUAACCAAGUCAGUUACCCUGUGAGCCAGCAAGUGAGAAAGAUGCAAAGGCAGGGACAUAAAAAGGCAUGCACUUUCCAGAGUUCAAGGUCAGUUUGGCCAGGGGCAAGGCCAGUCCCAGGAGUGGUAAAAAUGGUAAUUUGAUGGCGUGGAGCAGUUUGAACUGGCCUCUGAAGUAUGCUUAAGAAAGGCUAAAGAGGGGCUGGUGAGAUGGCUCAGUGGCUAAGAGCACCCAACUGCUCUUCCGAAGGUCCAGAGUUCAAAUCCCAGCAACCACAUGGUGGCUCACAACCAUCUGUAACGAGAUCUGGCGCCCUCUUCUGGAGUGUCUGAAGACAGCUAAAGUGUACUUAACAUAUAAGUAAAUAAAAAGAGUUUUUAU